AUAUAACUUAUGUUGUAAGUAUAAAAAACAAGUUUAAACCACAAGCAUUAUAAAUAAAUUAACAUUUAAAUGAUCAAUGUACAUGAGACGAAGGUGAGAUAAACCCUUUCAGACAGAAAUGUAGUUCAUGCACUCAUUCCAUACAACAAAUCUAGUUUACCUAUUGCUAAAAGUAUCUCCGAAUAAACCUCUUAAAAAAUAACCUUGACCAUGAAAUAUAGGUCAAGAUCAACUUACACCUACUUAACAGACAUACACACCUUACAAUUAUUCCCUACACCAAAUAUAGUUAUACUAUCCCUUUAGUAUCUGAAAGAAGGCCAAAUCAGAUAAAUGUAACAUUGGCCAAUGAACCAUGACCUUGAGGUCAAGGUCAAAUGAUUAUUGCCAGAAUGGAAUCCAUACACGAAAUAUAAUUGACUUCUGAGAAAUAGACCAUAUCACAAAUUUUUAAUUUGGCCAGUCAACCAUGAAAAAGAGGUCAAGGUCAGAUUAUUAUUGACAGACAGACAUGUACACCUUACAAACAUUCCAUACACCAAAUAUAAUUGACUGGAUACUUAUAGUAUCUGCAAAAUAGACCAAAACACCAAAAAAAUAUAUACUUUGACCACUGAAUCAUGAAAAUGAGGUCACGGUCAGAUGUCACCUGCCAGUUGGACAUGAACAACUUACAAUCAUUGCACAACCAAUUAUAGAAGACCUAUUGCUUUAUAGAUAUGGACUUAUAAAAAAGAAGAUGUGGUAUGAUUGCCAAUGAGACAACUAUCCACAAAAGACCAAAAUGACACAGACAUUAACAACUAUAGGUCAUCGUACGGCCUUCAACAAUGAGCAAAGCCCAUACCGCAUAGUCAGCUAUAAGAGGCCCCGAUAAGACACUGUAAAACAAUUCAAACGAGAAAACUAACGGCCUUAUUUAUGAAAAAAAAAAUGAACGAAAAACAAAUAUGUAACACAUAAACAAACAUUAACCUUGUUAACUGAUCCAUGCAAUGAUGUCGAGGCCAAGUGAAAACUGACUGACAGACAUGAGGACCUUGCAAGGUAGUACAUAUCAAAUAUACGGGUAUCCUAUUACUUAUAUUAAGCGAGAAAUUAUCAUUGCAAAAGAAAAAGAUUUUUUUUCUCAAGUAGUUACUGAACCAUGGAAAUGACGACAAGGAAAAUCGUCAUGACAGACGAAAAGUUCGUAACAUAAGGCAUCUAUAUAUAAAGUAUGAAUUAUCCAGGUCAUCUACCUUCUGGAAAAUAAAGCUUUUAAAUCAAGCGCUAACGCCACCGGAUCACUAUUCCUAAGUCUCGCUUUCUGCGACAGAAGUCGCUGGCGAGACAAAAACCCUGAAAGUAACGACUCUUAACGCUGUAAAGCAUGAUUCAGACUAACGUUUCACCGCACACACACCACCAUUCCCACGCUGAG
rnacentral:lncRNA from 1 species